rnacentral:rRNA from 1 species
GAUGAACGCUGGCGGCGUGCUUAACACAUGCAAGUCGAACGGUGAAGGCGGAGCUUGCUCUGCUGGAUCAGUGGCGAACGGGUGAGUAACACGUGAGCAAUCUGCCCCUGACUCUGGGAUAAGCGCUGGAAACGGCGUCUAAUACUGGAUACGAGCUGCGAAGGCAUCUUCAGCAGCUGGAAAGAACUUCGGUCAGGGAUGAGCUCGCGGCCUAUCAGCUUGUUGGUGAGGUAACGGCUGACCAAGGCGGCGACGGGUAGCAGGCCUGAGAGGGUGACCGGCCACACUGGGACUGAGACACGGCCCAGACUCCUACGGGAGGCAGCAGUGGGGAAUAUUGCACAAUGGGCGAAAGCCUGAUGCAGCAACGCCGCGUGAGGGACGACGGCCUUCGGGUUGUAAACCUCUUUUAGCAGGGAAGAAGCGAAAGUGACGGUACCUGCAGAAAAAGCGCCGGCUAACUACGUG